rnacentral:rRNA from 1 species
GACGAACGCUGGCGGCGUGCUUAACACAUGCAAGUCGAGCGGUAAGGCCCUUUCGGGGGUACACGAGCGGCGAACGGGUGAGUAACACGUGGGUGACCUGCCCUCAGCUCUGGGAUAAGCCUGGGAAACUGGGUCUAAUACUGGAUAUGACUCCACGGUGCAUGUCGUGGGGUGGAAAGCCUUGUGCGGCUGAGGAUGGGCCCGCGGCCUAUCAGCUUGUUGGUGGGGUGAGGGCCUACCAAGGCGACGACGGGUAGCCGGCCUGAGAGGGCGACCGGCCACACUGGGACUGAGACACGGCCCAGACUCCUACGGGAGGCAGCAGUGGGGAAUCUUGCGCAAUGGGCGAAAGCCUGACGCAGCGACGCCGCGUGAGGGAUGACGG